rnacentral:rRNA from 1 species
CAGUAGCCGCGGUAAUACGAAGGGGGCUAGCGUUGCUCGGAAUGACUGGGCGUAAAGGGCGCGUAGGCGGCGAUCAAAGUCAGGCGUGAAAUUCCUGGGCUCAACCUGGGGGCUGCGCUUGAUACUUGGUUGCUUAAGUGGGGAAGAGGGUCGUGGAAUUCCCAGUGUAGAGGUGAAAUUCGUAGAUAUUGGGAAGAACACCGGUGGCGAAGGCGGCGACCUGGUCCUUGACUGACGCUGAGGCGCGAAAGCGUGGGGAGCAAACAGGAUUAGAUACCCCAGUAGUCCCUGUCUCUUAUAC